GGGGAAUAUUGCGCAAUGGGCGAAAGCCUGACGCAGCCAUGCCGCGUGAGUGAUGAAGGCCCUCGGGUCGUAAAGCUCUGUCGGGAGGGACGAAGGGUGGCAACACUCUGACGGUACCUCGCAAGAAAGCACCGGCUAACUCCGUGCCAGCAGCCGCGGUAAUACGGAGGGUGCAAGCGUUGCUCGGAUUUACUGGGCGUAAAGCGACCGCAGGCGGUCGAUUAAGUUUGACGUGAAAGCCCCGGGCUCAACUCGGGAAGUGCGUCAAAAACUGGUCGACUUGAGUACGGGAGAGGAGAGUGGAAUUCCUGGUGUAGAGGUGAAAUUCGUAGAUAUCAGGAGGAACACCGGCGGCGAAGGCGGCUCUCUGGCCCGAUACUGACGCUCAUGGUCGAAAGCGUGGGGAGCAAAC
rnacentral:rRNA from 1 species